GAAAGCUUUUCAACAUGUUGCUUCAUAUGAUUCUGCAGUUUCAGAAUGGCUGUGGAAACAGACUGUUGGAGAUAAGUUCCCUCCCAGCCUGACAGUGCCGCUCUCUCUAAAAGACCAACUUCGAUAUGGUGAAAAUCCUCAUCAGAAGGCUGCAGUUUAUGUGGACAAGUCUCUGUCUGAGGUUAACGCUGGUGGAAUUGCAACUGUUAUCCAACACCAUGGCAAGGAGAUGUCAUAUAACAACUACCUGGACGCUGAUGCAGCUUGGAAUUGUGUCUGUGAUUUUAAUCAACCAACUUGUGUUGUUGUGAAGCAUACAAAUCCUUGUGGAGUUGCAUCACGGAAUGAUAUCAUUGAAGCAUAUAGGCUAGCUGUGAAAGCAGAUCCAGUUAGUGCAUUUGGUGGUAUAGUAGCCUUCAAUGUCGAAGUUGAUGAGGCUCUUGCAAAGGAUAUUAGAGAAUUUAGAAGCCCCACAGAUGGUGAGACUAGGAUGUUUUAUGAAAUAGUAGUCGCACCAAAAUACACAGAGAAGGGUCUUGAGGUUCUCCGUGGGAAGUCUAAGACUUUGAGAAUCCUUGAGGCAAGUAAAAACAACAAGGGCAAGCUUUCUCUCAGACAAAUUGGUGGUGGUUGGUUAGCCCAGGAUUCAGAUGAUUUGACCCCGGAAGAUAUCCAAUUCAAUGUCAUGUCUGACAAAACUCCACAAGAAAAUGAGCUUAUCGAUGCACAGUUUGCUUGGUUAUGUGUCAAGCAUGUCAAGAGCAAUGCCAUUGUAAUUGCAAAGAACAAUUGUAUGUUAGGAAUGGGGAGUGGACAACCAAAUCGUCUAGAAAGUUUGAGGAUUGCUAUGAGGAAAGCUGGAGAUGAAGUAAAAGGAGCUGCUUUGGCAAGUGAUGCUUUCUUCCCAUUUGCAUGGAAUGAUGCUGUUGAAGAAGCGUGUCAAAGCGGAGUAAGCGUUAUUGCAGAACCAGGAGGGAGCAUAAGGGACAAAGAUGCAGUGGAGUGUUGUAACAAGUAUGGAGUCUCACUUGUUUUCACCAACGUGAGGCACUUCAGGCAUUAGAUGUUUUGUAGGGUAUUACUAAACUCCUUAUUUACUAUUUUUACCAAAUGUUUUUGAUCUCUAACAUUAAUCUUUAAUAUUUUUGAGGAAUUAUCUUUUAUCUAGUAGUUUUGAG
rnacentral:misc_RNA from 1 species